rnacentral:lncRNA from 1 species
AAAAACUCAACGUUUAUCGAAACCAACGGAGAGGUGACCAAACAUCAACGAAUGAAUGGGAAAGAAGAUACAACCAUACGUCAACGGACGAAUGGGAAAAACUCAACGCUUAUCGAAACCAACGGAGAGGUGACCAGACAUCAAAGGAUGAAUGGGAAAGAAGAUACAACCAUACGUCAACGGACGAAUGGGAAAAACUCAACGUUUAUCGAAACGAACGGAGAGGUGACCAGACAUCAACGGAUGAAUGGGAAAGAAGAUACAACCAUACGUCAAUGGACGAAUGGGAAAAACUCAAGGUUUAUCGAAACCAACGGAGAGGUGACCCGACAUCAACAGAUGAAUGGGAGGAGAGAUAUACAACCAUACGUCAACGGAUGAAUGGGAAAAACUCAACGUUUAUCGAAACCAACGGAGAGGUGACCAGACAUCAACGGAUGAAUGGGAAAGAAAAUACAACCAUACGUCAACGGACGAAUGGGAAAAACUCAACGUUUAUCGAAACCAACGGAGAGGUGACCCGACAUCAACAGAUGAAUGGGAGGAGAGAUAUACAACCAUACGUCAACGGACGAAUGGAAAAAACUCAACGUUUAUCGAAACCAACGGAGAGGUGAUUAGACAUCAACGGAUGAAUGGGAAAGAAGAUACAACCAUACGUCAACGGACGAAUGGGAAAAACUCAACGUUUAUCGAAACCAAGGGAGAGGUGACCAAACAUCAACGGAUGAAUGGGAAAGAAGAUACAACCAUACGUCAACGGACGAAUGGGAAAAACUCAACGUUUAUCGAAACCAACGGAGAGGUGUCCAGACAUCAACAGAUGAAUGGGAGGAGAGAUAUACAACCAUACGUCAACGGACGAAUGGGAAAAACUCAACGUUUAUCGAUACCAACGGAGAGGUGACCCGACAUUAACAGAUGAAUGGGAGGAGAGAUAUACAACCAUACGUCAACGGACAAAUGGGAAAAACUCAACGUUUAUCGAAACCAACG